UGCUAGAUCCCUCUAUGGUCAUCCUGGAGGUGGCCUGUGAGCCCAUCCGUCGCUACCUGAGGACACGGGAGGACACAGUACGGCAGAUUGUGGCUGGGCUAACCGGGGACUCGGAUGGGACUGGGGACUUGGCUGUUGAGCUGUCUAAGACUGACCCGGCCUGCCUGGAGACCGGCCAGGACAGUGAGGAUGACUCUGGCGAGCCCGAGGACUGGGUCCCUGACCCUGUGGAUGCUGAUCCAGCAAAGUCAAGUUCCAAGCGACGCUCUUCAGACAUCAUCAGCCUGCUGGUCAGCAUCUAUGGCAGCAAAGACCUGUUUAUCAAUGAGUACCGCUCCCUCCUGGCCGAUCGCCUCCUCCACCAGUUCAGCUUCAGUCCGGAGAGGGAGAUUCGUAAUGUGGAGCUGUUGAAGCUGCGCUUUGGAGAAGCCCCCAUGCACUUCUGUGAGGUCAUGCUCAAGGACAUGGCAGAUUCCCGCCGCAUCAAUGCCAAUAUCCGUGAGGAGGAUGAGAAGCGGCCUGUGGAAGAACAGCCACCAUUUGGGGUCUAUGCCGUCAUAUUGUCCAGUGAAUUUUGGCCUCCCUUCAAAGAUGAGAAGCUGGAGGUCCCUGAGGACAUCAGGGCAGCCCUGGAUGUUUACUGCAAGAAGUAUGAGAAACUGAAGGCUAUGCGGACACUCAGUUGGAAGCAUACCCUGGGCCUGGUGACGAUGGACGUGGAGCUGGCUGACCGCACCCUGUCUGUUGCGGUCACCCCAGUGCAGGCAGUGGUUUUGCUGUAUUUCCAGGACCAAGGUGAGUCCCUAGAACCCCAUCUGGUCUGCCUUGAGCACACUACCUUGGGGCUAGUGCUAGACACUGCUGUCUGAUAAGCUGUAAGGUGACAUACUGACCCCCACCCCCUCCAGAAUUUAGAGGUAGCAACCAUUCUUUUUACCUGUGAGUAACAGUUACAGGACAAUGCACAUGCAUCUGGGGG
rnacentral:lncRNA from 1 species